rnacentral:rRNA from 1 species
ACGAACGCUGGCGGCGUGCUUAACACAUGCAAGUCGAACGGAAAGGCCUGCUUUCCCUUGUGGAUUGCGGGUACUCGAGUGGCGAACGGGUGAGUAACACGUGAGUGAUCUGCCCCCAACUUGGGUAUAAGCCUGGGAAAUUGGGUCUAAUUCCCGAUAGGACUGCAGGGUGGUGCCUGUGGUGGAAAACGAUUUUCUAGUGGUUGGGGAUGAGCUCGCGGCCUAUCAGCUUGUUGGUGGGGUAAUGGCCUACCAAGGCGGCGACGGGUAGCCGGCCUGAGAGGGUGGACGGCCACAUUGGGACUGAGGUACGGCCCAGACUCCUACGGGAGGCAGCAGUGGGGAAUAUUGCACAAUGGGCGGAAGCCUGAUGCAGCGACGCCGCGUGGGGGAUGACGGCCUUCGGGUUGUAAACUCCUUUCGACCGCGAGGAAGCCACCUGGUUGGAAGGGUGGUGACGGUAGUGGUAGAAGAAGCACCGGCUAACUACGUG